UACGUAGGGUGCGAGCGUUGUCCGGAAUUAUUGGGCGUAAAGGGCUCGUAGGCGGUCUGUCACGUCAGGAGUGAAAACUCGGGGCUCAACCCCGAGCCUGCUUCUGAUACGGGCAGACUAGAGGUAUGCAGGGGAGAACGGAAUUCCUGGUGUAGCGGUGAAAUGCGCAGAUAUCAGGAGGAACACCGGUGGCGAAGGCGGUUCUCUGGGCAUUACCUGACGCUGAGGAGCGAAAGUGUGGGGAGCGAACAGG
rnacentral:rRNA from 1 species